rnacentral:ncRNA from 1 species
UAUAACCACAGGUUAUCUAACACUGUCUAACAAUUAGAGAUGAUUAAAGCAAUUAAGCGUAUGUUAAGUACGUCAUCCUGAUUGGGGCCUCCUAUUUAUUAUGGGAGGUUUUUUUGAUAAU